UACGUAGGUGGCAAGCGUUUGUCCGGAAUUAUUGGGCGUAAAGCGCGCGCAGGCGGUCCUUUAAGUCUGAUGUGAAAGCCCACGGCUCAACCGUGGAGGGUCAUUGGAAACUGGGGGACUUGAGUACAGAAGAGAAGAGUGGAAUUCCACGUGUAGCGGUGAAAUGCGUAGAGAUGUGGAGGAACACCAGUGGCGAAGGCGACUCCUUGGUCUGUAACUGACGCUGAGGCGCGAAAGCGUGGGGAGCAAACAGG
rnacentral:rRNA from 1 species